UACAGAGGGGGCAAGCGUUGUUCGGAAUUACCGGGCGUAAAGGGCGCGUAGGCGGCCUGUUAAGUCGAACGUGAAAUCCCCGGGCUCAACCCGGGAACUGCGUCCGAUACUGGCAGGCUUGAAUCCGGGAGAGGGAUGCGGAAUUCCAGGUGUAGCGGUGAAAUGCGUAGAUAUCUGGAGGAACACCGGUGGCGAAGGCGGCAUCCUGGACCGGCAUUGACGCUGAGGCGCGAAAGCCAGGGGAGCAAACGGG
rnacentral:rRNA from 1 species